GCGUCCCUUCAGCAACACAAAGAUUUGGCUCCAGAUCCAAAAUGUCAUGUAUUUGGCAAUUUUAUUUAUGGUAGCACUCCCCACCCCUCCCAUCUGCUCUUUUCCCUUCCCUCCACUCCCCUCCCCUAUGCUCCCUGUCCCGACACUCCCCUCCCCUCCCCUCCCCUAUACUACCCUACACUCCCCUUCGCUACACUACCCUACAUUACCCUAUGCUCCCCUCCCCUAUGCUCCCCUACACUCCCCUCCCCUAUCCUACCCUACACUCCCCUAAACUCCACUCCCCUACACUACCUUCUACUCUCCUAUGCUCCCUUCCCCUCUACUAUGCUACACUACGCUAUGCUACACUACCCUAUCCUACCCUCCCUUAUCCUAUUCUCCCCUUACACUAUCUUCCCCUCCCCUCCCCUCCAAUCCCCUCCAAGUCCCCUCCAACCCUGCCCUCCUGCUGCACUCACUUGGGGGCCGCAGGGCUGCUUCUCACUCCUCUCUCCCAGCAUCUGUAACAUCACAGAUGUUUUUCCUUUUUUCAGUCUGCUCUCCCAGAAACCCAGGCAGCAUCGCUCCUUGACUAGGCCAUGGCCAGUAUCUGGUCUCUUUUGGAGCCAGCUGGAGCUGGCUCUGGUCUGACAUGGGGCAGCUGCUGGGCUCUGCUCUCAGAAACCACCCGUUCUGCCCCUUGCGACCAAAGCCUUACCACAUGAACCUAACAGAAAGUGGAAU
rnacentral:lncRNA from 1 species